rnacentral:ribozyme from 1 species
AAGAAUUCUAGCUAUGUUUAUGGGGUAGGAUCCGAGACUCCUUUCGGGGUUCUCACAGACUCUCCUACCCAACUUCCUAUUCCGUAACGUCCGCGUCGUACAGAGCGGUAACUUGCCCCACCGCCUAUCCAAUCUUGGGUACACGGGCUUGUCCCAACCCCUUCGGCGGAUGGUGGUGCAAGGCUGAACAGGAGGGG